GUCCAAUAACAGCAACAACUCUGACAACAACAUCAACAGCAGUUUCAGCGACAGCUACAGAUGAAUAAAGUCGUGCACUUAGUUAUCUAUACAUAUUGUUGAAGUAGUAUUAAUGUUAUUCCAUGCAGAGAGUGAUAAGUAUAGUGGAAAGUUCUUUGUCCAGCAGCGGUUUUGUAUAAAGGAACAUCCAAUUUAUUACCAUUUCUUGUUUCCCGGCAACUAACUUCUCUGGUUUUGAACCUGGACGAUAAGUAGUCUGGUGCACUUUUGUUCUUACAUUUGAACGCCAUUUGAAUUUGAAAACAAAAAUCCAGCGAGCGGGAUGACUUGAGACCGGUCUGCGCAAAUAUUUCGUCUCUAUCUCUUGUAAACAUCGCCAUUAUAAAUAAUACUCUGGCCGAAAUGAAAUCGUCCCGGUUUGACUCCGUCCCAAUCUCAUGUAAACUGGGCCUUACUCGCAGUUCGAGUCACAAGUUGGCUCGAGUCGAUUUGAGUCGAUCGCUUAACUUCAAUUCAUUUUUUUCAGAUAUCAAAGUUAUUUUUGAUGAAAUUAUGCGUAAGGUAUCAAAAUUUUACUAUUGUUUUGUCUUAUCGAUU
rnacentral:lncRNA from 1 species